AUAUCCAUCAUAUGGAGUAGAUUUGGGUCUCUGCGAUAUCAUAAACUAAUGGCACAUGAUUAUUAGUUGCAUUUAUGUGAGUCCACCUUUUUUGAAAAUGAUACUAUGUGAACGCUGAUGGCUGCUAUGUUCAGUAAUAGCCUCCUGCGUGACUGACUGGGACAAGUUCAUAGUUGGAAGAAAUUCAAUUUGAAGACUUGGCCUUGAACCAAUAUGAUGGCUAUAACUGGAAAAUGUAGAUAUUAGUUCUUUCUAUGCCAGAUGAAAUUUCAAUCGAAAACCAACUUUUCAAUUAUGAAGCCUUCUGAUUGUAAUUGCUUUGUGGAAGAUCUAAACUGCUUUGUAACAAUCAAGACUAUCCUCUAAACACUAUCCAAUGUGGCCAUGUUCUCAUGUUGAAAAUAUAAUUGAUUGGAAUUGAGGCUUUAGAAUUUAUGGUCGGUUUAAUAGUUUAUCAAUAUGCUGCAAUUGUGUAUUUUUAUUUUUGAAUCAUUUGGAGGAUUAGAAUCUAACAAGCAAGCUUUGUAUGAACCGGUGAUUCUUCCUCUGCGGAAACCUGAGCUCUUCUCACAUGGGAAACUUCUUGGUCCACAAAAGGGGGUAUUGUUAUAUGGACCUCCAGGCACCGGGAAGACCAUGCUUGCAAAAGCUAUUGUCAGAGAGUCUGGAGCUGUUUUUAUAAAUGUGAGGAUCUCUAAUCUGAAGAGCAAGUGGUUCGGCGAUGCACAAAAGCUCUUUGCUGCUGUUUUUAGCCUGGCUUAUAAACUACAGAUCAUGAGGCAUGAAGCUUGAGUUCACGACAUUCUGGGAUGUAUUUACUACAGAUCAGAAUGCACAAGUGAUGGUACUAGCUGCAACCAACUGACCUUCAGAACUCGAUGAAGCAAUCCUCCAACGUCUUCCUGAGGCCUUUGAAAUUGGGAUACCUGAUCAAAGAGAGAGGGUUCAGAUCCUGAAGGUUGUUUUGAAAGGGGAGAAGAUCAAAAGCAAAAUUGACUUUGACUGCAUAACAAGUUUGUGUGAGGGCUACACUGGUUCUCAUCUGUGAUUUGUUAUAAUCCCAGCAAAUUCUUCAAGGCACCAAGGCCAUUGUCCCAGUCAGACUUGCUGAGAGUUCUUGGCACAUCAACUAAGACUAGGGUUGCUGCAAAUGAGUACAGGAGGUCAAGCUCACAUUCACCUAGGUGGCCAGGUAGUCAGAUGACUAUCAGGUUCAAGCCAUAACUAACAAGCUCUCUAUACUCGCAGUAUCUCAAAUCUUGAAUCUUCAGUCGGAUAAUCAGGACCCUUGAAAUAUUGAUUUGUUUUUUCUUGAUAUCAGGCCAAGAGAAAUUGUAUUUUAAAUUAUUUUAAUGUUUUUCCUAUUCUGAAAUGCUCUAAGUAGAAUAUGUUGUUUUUAGGCGACUCAAAAUUGCAGAUUUGCUGUAGCAUAGAGCUCUUAACGUGGUAUUAAUACCUAUCUUGCUUUUCUUUUGCUUUAGAUAUAAACUUGCCAAUCACCAAUGUUGACUGAUUUUGUUGAUGAUUUUGGCUAUGUGUCAGAGUUGUGGAACAUUGUUUGUCCA